CAUAACUUCUACAUUUAAACAGAAUUCUUUGGCAUUGCCUCAUAUGUGUGUGUUAACAGAAGUAUGAGGAAUGCAGCUCUGAGUCAGCACAGUGGAAUGACAAACGAAAGUCAAGACUGAGGGACCUGUAGCGUCUUCCAGAAGGCAACAGUGUGUGAAUUUCCAUACCGGACGAUUAUGGAUGAGAAGAACAGCUCCUAAGAAGAACAGCUCCUAAGCCAUGUUGUGAAGCAUCUGCGGAGAUUCUUGUGUUCGGCCUUGGGUCAUAGAAUCGCAAUACAGG